CAAGGUUCGCUUCCUCCUGCCCGGGUCAUCAUGGGAGCCCGAGGACGGAGCCGUCCUCACCUCACGUGGAUCCCUGAGUAGGGCGAUGUAGAGAAGAGCCCCCGACCUGAGAGGGAUGUGUGGUGUGAGCGAGAAUCAGCCUUCAAUCAGUUUUAGCCCGAGGAACCUGACGUCGAGCAGGCCUGUGGACGGGCAGGAUUCUUAAUGGCUGGUUUGAUUGAUUAGGCCUCUGGCUGCUCUCUCAUUUUGGUCACAAAGGUUACCUGGCUCCAGAAACAAUCAAUGGAUCACCCCCUUUCAGACCACAGGACAUUUUAUAGACAGACUGUCAAGUCAUUUUAAAGCUGUGAACAUUCUGAUCACUUAUGUAGCUGAGCCCAUGCUGGAACGCACCAAUUUCCAGUCUUUGUGCGACUCUGAUUGCUCAGAAGCUGCUAAUAGCUCAUUACCUACUGCUUCCUGCUAUGAAACAAAAAUAUGAGGAUUUAGCUCUGAGACCAGCGCUGCUCACACUUUCGCCCUCCCGCUGCAUCCCGGUAGAGUUUUACCAAGACUUCAUAGACAUAAGAAACUUGCCGUGUUUAUACCACCAGAAUCCGGUAAAAGCGUCCAAAGUGUUCUAAGCAGCUGUAGUGAACGCAACCCCCAAUUCUCAGCCCUGCCUGUAGCCGCCUCUCGAUAUGAUCGCACCAGCAGGAUCCAGCAAGCAUGCUCCCUCCAUUCAGCCAAGGGAGUAAAAAAACGGAAGUCCACGCAAAAAUCCUGCACAUGGGUGUUUAUAGCAGCUUUAUUCAUAAACUGCCAAAACUUGGAAGCAACCAAAGAUAGUCUUCAACAGGGAAAUGAAUAAAAACCUGUGGUAUAUCCAGACAGUGGAAUAUUAGCAAGCCAUGGCAAGACCUGGAGGAACCUUAAAAGCACACUGCUAAGUGAAAGAAGCCAGUCUGAAAAGGCUCCAUACUGGGUGAUUCCAGCUGUCUGACAUUCUGGAAGAGAGAAAACUCUGGAACCUGUAGAUGGAAAGAUCACUGGCCGCAGGGGUUCAGGCGGAGGGAGCGAGGGAUAGGCAGAGCUCAGAUGAGUUUUCGGGCAGUGAAACUGUUCCAUAUGAUAUUGCCGUGGGGGAUAUGAGCCAUUAUGUUUGUCAAAACCCAUAGACUAUGCAACACAGAGAGUGAACCCUCAUGUAAACUGUGGACUUUAGUUAAUAAUAAUGUAUCAAGAUCGGCUCCUCAAUGGUAAC
rnacentral:lncRNA from 1 species